rnacentral:rRNA from 1 species
AGAGUUUGAUCAUGGCUCAGGAUGAACGCUGGCGGCGUGCUUAACACAUGCAAGUCGAACGGGCGCACAGAGGGAAACGGUAUUCGUACUGAAUCCGCUGUGAGCUAGUGGCGGACGGGUGAGUAACACGUGAGUAAUCUGCCUCAAGCAGUGGAAUAACAACGGGAAACCGUUGCUAAUACCGCAUAGAGUCACUUCUUGGCAUCGAGAAGAGAUAAAAGGGAGUAAUCCCGGCCUGAGAUGAGCUCGCGUCCGAUUAGGUAGUUGGUGAGGUAAUGGCUCACCAAGCCCGCGAUCGGUAGCCGGACUGAGAGGUUGAUCGGCCACAUUGGGACUGAGACACGGCCCAGACUCCUACGGGAGGCAGCAGUGGGGAAUAUUGGGCAAUGGGGGAAACCCUGACCCAGCGACGCCGCGUGAAGGAUGAAGGCCUUCGGGUUGUAAACUUUUUUGGAUAGGGACGAAGAAAUGACGGUACCCAUCGAACAAGCCACGGCUAACUACGUGCCAGCAGCCGCGGUAAUACGUAGGUGGCGAGCGUUAUCCGGAAUUACUGGGUGUAAAGGGCGUGUAGGCGGAUGAACAAGUCUGAUGUGAAAUCUUGCGGCUUAACUGCAAGCUGUCAUUAGAAACUGUAUAUCUUGAGUGUCAGAGGGGAAAGUGGAAUUCCUAGUGGAGCGGUAAAAUGCGUAGAUAUUAGGAGGAACACCGGUGGCGAAGGCGACUUUCUGGCUGACAACUGACGCUGAGGCGCGAAAGCGUGGGGAGCAAACAGGAUUAGAUAUCCUGUAGUCCACGCCGUAAACGAUGAAUACUAGGUGUAGGAGGUAUCGACUCCUUCUGUGCCGGAGCAACGCAUUAAGUAUUCCACCCGGGGAGUACGGCCGCAAGGUUAAAACUCAAAGGAAUUGACGG